ensembl:misc_RNA Metazoa_SRP Metazoan signal recognition particle RNA
GCCAGGUGUGGUGGUGCACGCCUGUAAUCCCAGCUACUUGGGAGGCUGAGGCAGGGGAAUUGCUUCAACCCAGGAGGUGGAGGUUGCAGUGAGCUGAGAUUGUACUGCUGCACUCCAGCCUGGGUGACAGAGCAAGACUCUGCCUCAA